GUAAAAAUCACCCACUACACUCAUGGAGUGGUUGGCAUUAGGAAGGGCAUCCAGCUAUAGAAACCAAGCCAAAAUAGACUGGAGCCUGGUAUAGCUCUCUGGCCUACCACCUCCAGCCAAACCAUCUAACCCAUGCCAGCAUAGAAAACAGGCAUUAAAUGAUGAUAUUGAUGAUUCACAUCAACCAUUACAACCAGUUGGUUCUUCAGUUUG